UGCUUUAUCAUAAUUUGCAUAUCUGCUGCCCACUGCAGGUAGCUUAAAUACAACUUAUAUUUUAUAUUUUAAUUAAGCCAUAGCAGCUUCAGUCCUGACACCAUGUGAACGCAUGCAGCAGAUGCCUUGAUGCACGAGCAGGCCAUCUGAAUAGCAGGCCAUAAAAGAAGACAGGGACGUACAGAUUUCAUGAGGUUCGUGCGCAAGGAGGGAGCGAGCAGUUACUUCAUCCAAAAAAAAUAACACAAGGAAUCUUAGUGCAAAUUAUUUGUACCGUUUUAAUUCCUGGUUGAUCUCUUCAUCAGUGAGAAACAUUGUGUCAGUAUUCGCGACUGCCAAACAAUUACUGUUUCUAUGAUUUCAGCUAUAUUCCAAUCAUGAUUAUUCACUACUAAAUACAAACUGUGUUAUUAGAA